rnacentral:tRNA from 1 species
GAUGAGAUGGCUGAAGUUUAGGCUAUAAAUUGUAAAUUUAUAUAUGGUAAUAACCUCUCAUCA